AUACGUAGGGAGCGAGCGUUGUCCGGAAUUACUGGGCGUAAAGGGCGCGUAGGCGGCGCUUCAAGUCGUCUGUCAAAUGGGAGGGCUUAACCCUUUUUCGCAGACGAAACUGGAGAGCUUGAGAAGCAGAGAGGCAAACAGAAUUCCUGGUGUAGCGGGGAAAUGCGUAGAUAUCGGGAGGAAUACCAGUGGCGAAGGCGGCCUCCUGGAUCGUUCCUGACGCUCAGACGCGAAAGCUAGGGGAGCGAACGGGAUUAGAAACCCCGGUAGUCCUAGCCGUAAACGAUGUAGACUUGGUGUUGGUGGGGUAAAAUCCAUCAGUGCCGAAGCUAACGCGAUAAGUCUACCGCCUGGGGACUACGGUCGCAAGGCUAAAACUCAAAUGAAUUGGCGGGG
rnacentral:rRNA from 1 species